UGCCAGACUCCUACGGGAGGCAGCAGUGGGGAAUAUUGCACAAUGGGGGAAACCCUGAUGCAGCAACGCCGCGUGAGUGAAGAAGUAUUUCGGUAUGUAAAGCUCUAUCAGCAGGGAAGAAAAUGACGGUACCUGAGUAAGAAGCCCCGGCUAACUACGUGCCAGCAGCCGCGGUAAUACGUAGGGGGCAAGCGUUAUCCGGAUUUACUGGGUGUAAAGGGAGCGUAGACGGCGAUGCAAGUCUGAAGUGAAAGCCCGGGGCUCAACCCCGGGACUGCUUUGGAAACUGUAUGGCUGGAGUGCUGGAGAGGCAAGCGGAAUUCCUAGUGUAGCGGUGAAAUGCGUAGAUAUUAGGAAGAACACCAGUGGCGAAGGCGGCUUGCUGGACAGUAACUGACGUUGAGGCUCGAAAGCGUGGGGAGCAAACAGGAUUAGAUACCCGGGUA
rnacentral:rRNA from 1 species